rnacentral:rRNA from 1 species
AGGACGAACGCUGGCGGCGCGCCUAAGUACGAUGCAAGUCGAACGGGUACCUCUUCGGAGGUGCUAGUGGCGGACGGGUGAGUAACACGUGGGCGACCUGCCUUUGAGUGGGGAAUAACGCUGGGAAACCAGCGCUAAUACCGCAUGCGCUCGCCGUUUCAUUACGGCGAGGAAAGCUUGAUGCGCUCAAAGAGGGGCCUGCGGCGGAUUAGCUAGUCGGUGGGGUAACGGCCUACCGAGGCAUCGAUCCGUAGCUGGUCUGAGAGGAUGAUCAGCCACACUGGGACUGAGACACGGCCCAGACUCCUACGGGAGGCAGCAGUAAGGAAUCUUCCACAAUGGGGGC